rnacentral:tRNA from 1 species
GGAGAGGUCGCAUAGUCCGGUCUAGUGCGCUACACUCGAAAUGUAGUAUAGGGGCAACUCUAUCGAGGGUUCGAAUCCCUCCCUCUCCGCCA